rnacentral:misc_RNA from 1 species
GAUGAAGACGCAGUGAAAUGCGAUAAGUAAUGUGAAUUGCAGAAUUCAGUGAAUCAUCGAAUCUUUGAACGCACAUUGCGCCCGUCAGUAUUCUGGCGGGCAUGCCUGUUCGAGCGUCAUUACGCCCCUCAAGUCCCCUGUGGACUUGGUGUUGGGGAUCGGCGAGGCUGGUUUUCCAGCACAGCCGUCCCUUAAAUUAAUUGGCGGUCUCGCCGUGGCCCUCCUCUGCGCAGUAGUAAAACACUCGCAACAGGAGCCCGGCGCGGUCCACUGCCGUAAAACCCCCCAACUUUUUAUAGUUGACCUCGAAUCAGGUAGGACUACCCGCUGAACUUAAGCAUAUCAAUAAGCGGAGGA